UGCCCGCGAAAAUUUCCUUUGCCAGACGCCAUGAUUUUGAUGUUAUAUGGCCUACCGUAAACAUGAACAGACUUACAGAUCAGUUUUCAACAGACUCAAGGGAGUUCAUGGUGUUAUCCUGAAGAGUACCAACCAUUGAAACACAUUUCAUGAUAGUUGGAUACAGGGGGUGGUUGGUUUCAACAUGCCAUUCUGAGAGUUAACAGUAUGCAGUCCUGGAUCAAUGUUUAUAGUGCCAAAAUGAGCUUACUUUGAAUGACACUCAAGUUCAUGCACAUCGCAAUAUACUUCAUCAAUGUUCACUCAAAGGAAAGUUAGCAAAAAGUUGUCCAGACAUUCAACAGCAGGUGUUGUGAUACUCUUCUCAUCCUCAAACUUGUUGUGCAGGAGAAAUUGGAUCCCAAAGAAGAGAAGCUUUGUCAUAAUUUUUGAUAGCAUUGAUUAAAUAGUUUCUCAGAUAUUUCAAUAUUCUUUAUUUUUUGCAGGACACAUGGUUGGUAAUGUUUAUGUAAACUAGCAGAAUCCCUGUACAUUUGAAGUGUCAUAGUCAAGUAUACUUCAGAAGAGGCAAGCAAAGUAUAAGUCAAGUAUAUAUGAAGUAUAAGGCAAGAAGUAUACUUUAAGUAUAUAAAUCUUGAGUAUAACUGGAGUAUACUUCAUCAAUACUUGUGUAAAGUAUACUUGACAAACUAAUUUGCAUAUAAAAUCAAAAUACUUGAAGUAUACUUCAAGUAUAUGUGAAAGACAUAUACUUGUGAGUAUACAUGAAGUAUAAGCAAAGUAUAACUGGAGUAUACUUCAUCUAUGCUCGUAUAAAGUAUACUUGGCAAACUAAUUUGCAUAUAAAAUCAAAAUACUUGGAAGUAUACUUCAAGUAUAGUAAAAGAUAUACUUUUCAUAUGCUUGGAAGUAUACUUUAAGUAUACUGCAAGUAUAUGUAAUUUCGGAAGGGCAGGCCUUAUCGGUCACCUGAAUACUAGUGAAAAAGUAUCACUACUUCCAUGAGCUAUGACAUCUAGAAAAAAAAUUCCUGUUCUGAAUAUCUAAGCUAAAUUCUAAUGUUCAGCAACAGUAUCAAACAAGAUGUGUUCUUAAAACUUCACUGCCCUCAAAAGUGCAUACACUGAUGAAAGGCUUUAAAGAAUAGGUGUAUUAACAUUAAAACAUCUGCAAGUAUGCAUUUAGAUUUUAUACAGUAUCAGCAAACUUACACAUCAAUACUAUAUACUAAGUUUGGCCCUACCCUGGGGUGAAAACCCUUACUAUGGCGAUCAUCAAAUUUACAAUUUUGGUAAAAGACUACCUCCUCUAUCCAUUUAGUUUCAAUUUAGUAUAAAUAGCACUAUAAAGAAGAUAUAUUCAAGUGUUUUACACAUAUAAACACUAUAUAACAAGUUUGGCCCCGCCCUGGGGUCAGAACUCCUUAGGCGUGACCCCGGGGAUCAUGAAAUUUACAAUUUUCGUAGAGGCCUUCCUGCUGUACAUCCCUAUGCAUUUAGUUUUUCUUACACGUGUGCAGUUCUAGAGAAGAAGAUUUUUGAAAAUUCGUCAAUUUUGGGCAGUUUUUGCCCCACCCCAAAGGCCCCUGGGGUGCAGGAGUUCUGAAAUUUACAAUUUAUGUCCCCCUUGUUCCAAAUAUGUUUCAUACCAGAUUUGAAAAGAAUUGGAAUGAUAUAGUUAUCAAGAAUAAGUUAAAAAAGUCUAUUGUUCACACAUUUGAUAACUGACCAUUUUGGC